GAUGAACGCUAGCGAUAGGCUUAACACAUGCAAGUCGAGGGGUAACGUGUUGGAAGCUUGCUUCCGAUGACGACGACCGGCGGAUGGGUGCGUAACGCGUAUGCAACUUGCCUCACAGUGGAGCAUAACCCGGAGAAAUCCGGACUAAUACUCCAUACACUCUUAAGUACGCCUGUACAUGAGAGGAAAGAUUUAUCGCUGUGAGAUAGGCAUGCGUCCUAUUAGGUAGUUGGUGAGGUAACGGCUCACCAAGCCGACGAUAGGUAGGGGUGCUGAGAGGCAGAUCCCCCACAUUGGGACUGAGACACGGCCCAAACUCCUACGGGAGGCAGCAGUGAGGAAUAUUGGUCAAUGGAGGAAACUCUGAACCAGCCAAGUCGCGUGAAGGAAGAAUGUCCUAAGGAUUGUAAACUUCUUUAGCGAGCGAGUAAGGACUUCCACGUGAUGGGAGUUUGAAAGUAGCUCGAGAAUAAGUAUCGGCUAACUCCGUG
rnacentral:rRNA from 1 species